rnacentral:rRNA from 1 species
GUGAGGAAUAAUGCACAAUGGAGGCAACUCUGACGCAGCCAUGCCGCGUGCAGGAAGAAGGCGCUACGCGUUGUAAACUGCUUUUAACCGGGAAGAAACCCCAGGACGUGUCCUGGGUUGACGGUACCGGAGGAAUAAGCACCGGCUAACUUCGUGCCAGCAGCCGCGGUAAUACGAAGGGUGCAAGCGUUAUCCGGAUUCAUUGGGUUUAAAGGGUGCGUAGGCGGAGCGUUAAGUCAGUGGUGAAAUCCUGCAGCUUAACUGUAGACUUGCCAUUGAUACUGGCGCUCUUGAGUGCGCUUGAAGUGGGCGGAAUGUGCCGUGUAGCGGUGAAAUGCUUAGAUAUGGCACAGAACACCAAUUGCGAAGGCAGCUCACUAAGGCGAUACUGACGCUGAGGCACGAAAGCGUGGGGAUCGAACAGGAUUAGAUACCCGGGUAGUCC